rnacentral:tRNA from 1 species
AAGAAUGUAGUUUAAAUAAAAAUAUUAAAUUGUAAAUCUAAAGUUAAGAUUCUUG